UGCCAGCCGCCGCGGUAACACGGAGGGUGCAAGCGUUGUCCGGAAUUACUGGGUUUAAAGGGUGCGUAGGCGGCGCAAUAAGUCAGAAGUGAAAGCUCACGGCUCAACCGUGGAAUUGCUUUUGAUACUGUUGUGCUUGAAUUAGGUUGAGGUUGGCGGAAUGAGUCAUGUAGCGGUGAAAUGCAUAGAUAUGACUUAGAACACCGAUUGCGAAGGCAGCCGGCUGGACCUUAAUUGACGCUGAGGCACGAAAGCGUGGGGAGCGAACAGGAUUAGAUA
rnacentral:rRNA from 1 species